AAUGUUGAACUCUUUUUAUCAAAUAAAGGUCAAGUUCCAGCACAUUUACUCCUUCGGAGUGUUUUGCAAGUCAAAAUGAACGUCAAAAAUCUACAGAUAUUAGAUAUGGUGCAAGUUCCAGUAAAUUUAUUUCAUCAGAGAGUUUGGCAAAGCAAAACAAAAGUCAAAAAUCUUCAAAUAUAGGAAAUGGUGCAAGUUCUAAUACAUUUAUUCCAUCGGAGAGUUUUGCAAGUCAAAAUAAUCGUCAAAAAUCUACAGAUACAAGAUGUGGUGCAAAUUCCAGUGCAUUUACUCCUUUGGAGUGUUUUGUAAGUCAAAUUGAUGCUCAACAAUCACUAGAUACUAGAUAUGACGUACAAACAAGAAGCAGAGGUACAAACAAAAAAGAAGGAAAAAUUUACCAACCUGAAAUUGUGCCAGAAAGAAAAUAUCAUAAAUGGGUUUUGAAUGAGGAGACACAACUAAUACAACACUUUCAAAGUUAUAUUAAUGAAAACAAAAUGCCUGACAAAAAAGAAAUUCUUCAGUUUUUGGAGGAGAAAAUAAUAGACGUUCAAUAUAAAACUGCAAGAACAAAAUUAAAGAACAAAAGAACUAAAAUUCUGAAUAGUAAAAGUCGUCGUUUGAAAGAUUUAAACAUGAUAGAGUAGA